GCCCGUUUAGCUCAGUGGUAGAGCGCGCCACUCGUAUGUCACGUGGUGACACGUGAUAACACGUCACGUGACUCGGAAAUGGUGAGGUCGGUUGUUCAAUCCAGCCAGUGGGCA